rnacentral:rRNA from 1 species
AUUGAACGCUGGCGGCAGGCCUAACACAUGCAAGUCGAGCGGACAAAGGAGGCUUUCUCCUGGCUUCCGCGGCGGACGGGCGGGUAAUGCCUAGGAAUCUGCCUUGUAGUGGGGGAUGACAUCCGGUAACGGGCGCUAAUACCGCAUCCGUCCUGAGGUUGAACGGUAGGGAUCUUCGGACCUAAAGCGCUCUGCUGAGACUAGGACGGAUUUGCUAGUUGGUGGGGUAAGUGCGUACCAAGGCGACGAUCCGUAACUGGUCUGAGAGGAUGAUCGGUCACACUGGAACUGAGACACGGUCCAGACUCCUACGGGAGGCAGCAGUAGGGAAUAUUGGACAAUGGGCGAAAGCCUGAUCCAGCAACGCCGCGUGUGUGAAGAAGGUCUUCGGAUCGUAAAGCUCUUUUAGUUGGGAGGAACGGAAGUAUGUGAAUCCCUGCAUGUCUUGACGUUACCAACAGAAAAAGCACCGGCUAACUUCGUG